GUCCACGCCCUAAACGAUGUCAACUGGUUGUCGGGGAAGCAAUUCCUUGGUAACGAAGCUAACGCGUGAAGUUGACCGCCUGGGGAGUACGGCCGCAAGGUUAAAACUCAAAGGAAUUGACGGGGACCCGCACAAGCGGUGGAUUAUGUGGAUCAAUUCGAUGCAACGCGAAAAAACCUUACCUACCCUUGACAUGUACGGAAGCCUUCAGAAAUGGAGGUGUGCCCGAAAGGGAGCCGUAACACAGGUGCUGCAUGGCUGUCGU
rnacentral:rRNA from 1 species